GCACCGGUAGCUCAGUUGGAUAGAGCAUCUGGCUACGAACCAGGAGGUCGGGGGGUCGAAUCCUCCCCGGUGCGCCA
rnacentral:tRNA from 1 species